GUCCGGAUCAUGGCGCCGACGAUCCCAAUGACGCUGUGUCAACCUGUUGGCAGCCAAGCUGAAGUAUUCUAGAGGGAAUGCCGUCUACUGUUUGUAAAACUAAGAGGCGUGAUUGUUGAAACUCUUUAUUGAAAAUGCUUUAGGAUAUAUUACAUGUAUAUUGCUUAAUUUUUUGAAGUUUUCAACGCUGUUACAGGCAUGUGUUUGGCCAGCUAUGUGGGGCGGGUUGAGCGUGAACAAGGAAGUGCGGGGAUCUCGUGCGCGCGCGCGCGCGCUGUUCUGUUGUUGCUGGCUCGUCGAAAAAAAAAGUUGACCGGAAGCAGCAGGCAACCAUCUGUCUUUCUCUGACGAAGUCAGGCCGCCCCUUACCACGGUUUGGGGCUGAAAAUAGUGACAGUUAACACCGCCACGACCGUGGAGAAGUGCCGAAGUAAACGGUUUGUCUUGCAACAGCAUCGUUUUCAUUGGCGCCAAUUUAAUUCGGUAUCGAGUCGGCGUUCCAACACCCUGACGGAGAACACUGGAGUUGCCAUGUAACUCAGACGACGCACAAGCAAUGCUACAAGAUGAAAAGCCGCUUGUCGCUUAACAGCCCGUGGGAUCCCACUGCAUCCAUCUCAACAUGAGCUCCAAAUGGGAGCGUCAUCUGAUGCCAUAGGUUCUCCAGUGGACAGUUUCACCUAUUGCACGCACAAGACGGCAUUUUCUGGCGCUUCAACCUUUUGCGUCCAUCAGCAGUCUGUCGGCCCCCGGGGAAGGACUCAUGUAAUUGUGUUGGCAGACCAUCAACAACAUGGCGUCGGCGUUCUUCACAGUUCCAGUGAGUACCAUUGGGGCCAUCAUCCGGAAGUGGAAAGAACACGGCAUUACCAUAAACCAGCCACGGCCAGGUGCUCCUCGCAAGAUUUCAGACAGAGGAGUCAAAACAAUCAUCAGAAGGGUUCUCCAACAGCCCAGGACCACUCGUGGAGAGCUUCAGAAAGACCUGGAAUCAGCAGGUACCGUUGUUUCAAAGAAAACAAUAAGUAAUGCACUCAACCGCCAUGGCCUCCAUGCACGCACACCACGCAAGACUCCAUUUUUGAAGAGGAAGCAUGUUGAAGCUCGUUUGGAGUUUGCGACACAACAUUUGGAUAAACCAUGACAUUCUGGGAGAACAUACUCUGGUCAGAUGAGACCAAAAUUGAACUCUUCGGAUGUCAUAAGACACAACAUGUUUGGAGGAAAAAUGGCACUGCACAUCACCCCCAAAACACCAUACCGACAGUCAAGUUUGGAGGUGGGAGCAUCAUGGCGUGGGGCUGUUUUUCAGCAUGUGGUACUGGUAGACUUCAUAUCAUUGAAGGAAUAAUGACUGGAGAAAAGUAUCGAGACAUUCUUGAUCAGAAUCUGCUGUCAUCUGCCAGGCUGCUGAAGAUGAAAAGAGGGUGGAUCUUUCAGCAAGACAACGAUCCCAAGCACACAGCCAAGGUAACACUCAACUGGUUGAAGAAAAAGAAAAUAAAGCUGCUAGAAUGGCCCAGUCAAUCACCAGACUUGAAUCCAAUUGAAAAUCUUUGGAAAGAACUGAAGAUCCGGGUUCACAGAAGAGACCCCCGGAACCUUGAAGAUUUGAAGGCAGUUUGUGUGGAUGAAUGGGCCAAAAUCACACCUGAGCAAUGUAUUCCACUGGUUUCUCCAUACAGGAGGCGUCUUGAGGCUGUAAUCACCAACAAAGGUUUUUGCACUAAGUAUGAAAUAAAUUUGUACUCUUUGUAAAAGCUUAAGGCUAAACCAACUGUAACACUUGUCUAUACGAGUGGAGCAUCUGUUGACAACAAUGGAAGUAUUAUUUUGCAAUAAUCUAGUCAUGUUAGUACUUACAAAUAAUGUCACACUUUGUAUAAGGAAUGUUUUCCAGUAUUUCCGGGUUACAAUCACUCCACUUGUUGUGUACUUUUUUGGAUCUUUAAAUCCAUUUGUUUCUAUCUUUAUUUUCUCUAAAAUAGUAUUUAUAGUAUUUUAAAUGCAUGUAAGUGACAACUAUAUGGCGGAAUUUCCCAAGAAGAUUAGCAGUGCUUAAAAAAACACCGCUAGAUGGCGGAAAUUCCCAAGUAUAGUUGCAGUAAUUUUAAGUGCCCACCAGAUGGCGGAAUUUCACAGUUUAAGUUGCAGUAAUUUUAAGUGGCCACCAGAUGGCGGAAUUUCACAAAUUAAGUUGCAGUAAAUUUAAGUGACCACCAGAUGGUGGAAUUUCACAGUUUAAGUUGCAGUAAUUUUAAGUGACCACCAGAUGGCGGAAUUUCACAGUUUAAGUUGCACUACUUUUAGGUGACCACUAGAUGGGGGAAUUUCACAGUUUAAGUUGCACUACUUUUAGGUGACCACUAGAUGGCGGAAUUUCCCAAGGUAAGUUGCAGUAAUUUUAAGUGACCACUAGAUGGCGGAAUUUCCCAAGGUAAGUUGCAGUAAUUUUAAGUGACCACUAGAUAGUGGCAUAGGGCUGGGGUUGGGGCUAGGGUAAGG